UACGGGGGGUGCGAGCGUUGUCCGGAAUCACUGGGCGUAAAGGGCGCGUAGGUGGUUUGAUAAGGGUGUGGUGAAAGUCCGGGGCUCAACUCCGGAUCUGCCGUGCCGACUGUCAAACUCGAGGGCUGUAGAGGCAGACGGAAUUCCGGGUGUAGCGGUGGAAUGCGUAGAGAUCCGGAGGAAGACCGGUGGCGAAGGCGGUCUGCUGGGCAGUUGCUGACACUGAGGCGCGACAGCGUGGGGAGCAAACAGG
rnacentral:rRNA from 1 species